rnacentral:rRNA from 1 species
UAAUACGUAGGGUGCGAGCGUUAAUCGGAAUUACUGGGCGUAAAGCGUGCGCAGGCGGUCUUGCAAGACAGUGGUGAAAUCCCCGGGCUCAACCUGGGAACGGCCAUUGUGACUGCAAGGCUGGAGUACGGCAGAGGGGGAUGGAAUUCCGCGUGUAGCAGUGAAAUGCGUAGAUAUGCGGAGGAACACCGAUGGCGAAGGCAGUCCCCUGGGCCUGUACUGACGCUCAUGCACGAAAGCGUGGGGAGCAAACAGGAUUAGAUACCCUGGUAGUCCACGCCCUAAACGAUGUCAACUGGUUGUUGGGGAUUUACUUCCUCAGUAACGAAGCUAACGCGUGAAGUUGACCGCCUGGGGAGUACGGCCGCAAGGUGAAAACUCAAAGGAAUUGACGG